rnacentral:rRNA from 1 species
GUCUUUUAGAUAAUAAUUUAAAGUCUGGCCUGCCCACUGAAUAUGAUUUUAAAGGGCCGCGGUAUUUUGACUGUGCAAAGGUAGCAUAAUCAUUAGUCUUUUAAUUGAAGGCUUGUAUGAAUGGUUGGAUGAAAUAUUAACUGUCUCGUGUUAAUAAGAUAGAAUUUAAUUUUUAAGUUAAAAAGCUUAAAUAUUAUUAGAGGACGAGAAGACCCUAUAGAUUUUUAUAAUUUUUUAUUUAUAAAUAAUUUAGUUGAGAGAAAUUUUUAAUUAAGAAAUUAUUUUAUUGGGGUGAUAAAUAAAUUUAAUAAACUUUAUAAAAUAUAAACAUUAAUGUAUGAAUUUUUGAUCCAUUUUUAGUGAUUAUAAGAUUAAAUUACCUUAGGGAUAACAGCGUAAUUUUUUUAGAGAGUUCAUAUCGAUAAAAAAGUUUGCGACCUCGAUGUUGAAUUAAAGAUUAAUUUAGGUGUAGAAGUUUAAAUUUUUGGUCUGUUCGACCAUUGAAUC